rnacentral:rRNA from 1 species
GAUGAACGCUGACAGAAUGCUUAACACAUGCAAGUCAACUUGAACUUCGGUUUGGGUGGCGGACGGAUGAGUAACGCGUAAAGAACUUGCCUCACAGAUAGGGACAACAUUUGGAAACGAAUGCCAAUACCUGAUAUUAUGAUUUUAGGGCAUCCUAGAAUUAUGAAAGCUAUAUGCGCUGUGAGAGAGCUUUGCGUCCCAUUAGCUAGUUGGAGAGGUAACGGCUCACCAAGGCGAUGACGGGUAGCCGGCCUGAGAGGGUGAUCGGCCACAAGGGGACUGAGACACGGCCCUUACUCCUACGGGAGGCAGCAGUGGGGAAUAUUGGACAAUGGACCGAGAGUCUGAUCCAGCAAUUCUGUGUGCACGAUGAAGUUUUUCGGAAUGUAAAGUGCUUUCAGUUGGGAAGAAAAAAAUGACGGUACCAACAGAAGAAGUGACGGCUAAAUACGUGCCAGCAGCCGCGGUAAUACGUAUGUCACAAGCGUUAUCCGGAUUUAUUGGGCGUAAAGCGCGUCUAGGUGGUUAUGUAAGUCUGAUGUGAAAAUGCAGGGCUCAACUCUGUAUUGCGUUGGAAACUGUAUAACUAGAGUACUGGAGAGGUAAGCGGAACUACAAGUGUAGAGGUGAAAUUCGUAGAUAUUUGUAGGAAUGCCGAUGGGGAAGCCAGCUUACUGGACAGAUACUGACGCUGAAGCGCGAAAGCGUGGGUAGCAAACAGG